GUUAAGGGCGUGAGCGUGGCACGGAAGAGUAAUGCCUAGGAAGUUGCCCAGUAGAGGGGGAUAACCAUUGCAAACGAUGGCUAAUACCGCAUAACCUCUUCCGAGCAAAGCAGGGGACCUUCGGGCCUUGCGCUAUUGGAUACGCCUAGGUGGGAUUAGCUAGUUGGCGAGGUAAGGGCUCACCAAUGCGACGAUCCCUAGCUGGUCUGAGAGGAUGAUCAGCCACACUGGAACUGACACACGGACCAAACUCCUACGGAAGGCAGCAGAGGGGAAUAUUGCACAAUGGGCCAAAGCCUGAUGCAGCCAUGCCGCGUGUGUGAAGAAGGCCUUCUGGUUGUAAAGCACUUUCUGCAGGGAGGAAGGCGGGAAGAUUAAUACUCUGAACACUUGACGUUAGCUGCAAAAGAAGCACCGGCUAACUCCGUGCCCGCAGCCGCGGAAAUACGGAGGGUGCGAGCGUUAAUCGGAAUUACUGGGCGGAAAGCGCAUGCAGGUGGUGAGUUAAGUCAGAUGUGAAAGCCCGGUGCUCAACCUCGUAAUUGCAUUUGAAACUG
rnacentral:rRNA from 1 species